rnacentral:rRNA from 1 species
GCUAUCGAGGUUCGACUAAGCCAUGCGAGUCGAAUGUAGCAAUACAUGGCGUACUGCUCAGUAACACGUGGAUAACCUGCCCUUGAGACGGGGAUAAACCCGGGAAACUGGGUAUAAUACCCGAUAGAUCUCGGCUGCUGGAAUGCACCGAGUUCUAAAGCUCCGGCGCUCAAGGAUGGAUCUGCGGCCUAUCAGGUAGUAGUGGGUGUAGCGUACCUACUAGCCUACGACGGGUACGGGUUGUGAGAGCAAGAGCCCGGAGAUGGAUUCUGAGACACGAAUCCAGGCCCUACGGGGUGCAGCAGGCGCGAAAACUUUACAAUGCUGGAAACAGCGAUAAGGGGACCUCGAGUGCCAGGUUACAAAUCUGGCUGUCGUGAUGCCUAAAAAGCAUUGCAUAGCAAGGGCCGGGCAAGACCGGUGCCAGCCGCCGCGGUAACACCGGCGGCUCGAGUGGUAACCGUUAUUAUUGGGUCUAAAGGGUCUGUAGCCGGCCGGAUAAGUCUCUUGGGAAAUCUGGCAGCUUAACUGUCAGGCUUUCAGGAGAUACUGUCUGGCUCGAGGCCGGGAGAGGUGAGAGGUACUUCAGGGGUAGGGGUGAAAUCUUGUAAUCCUUGAAGGACCACCAGUGGCGAAGGCGUCUCACCAGAACGGACCUGACGGCAAGGGACGAAAGCUAGGGGCACGAACUGGAUUAGAUACCCGGGUAGUCCUAGCCGUAAACGAUACUCGCUAGGUGUCGGCCACGGUGCGACCGUUGUCGGUGCCGUAGGGAAGCCGUGAAGCGAGCCACCUGGGAAGUACGGCCGCAAGGCUGAAACUUAAAGGAAUUGGCGGGGG